CCACAGGCGAGAAACGCGGUACAAAUACAGAUCUGCACGAUAGAAGUUGAAUUUUAUAUUCAACAAUGUACCAUGUCAGUUUCCACCGAGUAUGCUUUUAGCUGGAAAGUGGGAUCAAGUCGGGUCAUUGACUAGAAAGAGAGAGUAUCUCCGUGAACAACAGGCGACCUCUGAUUCGAUACCGAAGGAGAUGACUAGAAAGUGGAAAUACGAUGUCUUUCUAAGUUUCAGCGGGGCAGAUACCCGCUAUACUUUUACCAAUCGUUUGUAUUCUGCACUAAUUCGAAAAGGGAUUCUGACCUUUAUGAGCAGAGCUUGAGAAAGGAAAAUCCAUUAGGCCUGAACUUUUAGGUGCAAUUGAGGAGUCUAGAUCUGCCAUUGUCAUUCUCUCAAAGAAGUAUGCUGCUUCGUCAUGUGGUGCUUGGAUGAACUCGUCAAGAUUAUUCAAUGCAUGAAAGAGAGGGGCCAACAAGUCUUCCCCGUUUUCUACAUGGGCGUCGAUCCUUCUGAUGUGCGGCACCAAAGGCGAAGUUUUGAGCUCAUCAAAUGGGAGCACCAAGUAGAUGUGGAAGUACGGGAACAUGAAGAAGUUUAUGGGAAGAAUCAUGAUAGACUAAAUGCGUGGAGAGCUGCUUUGACUGAAGUGGCCAAUCUGUCUGGCUGGGAUAACAAGAAUUAUGGAUAUGAACAAAUACUAAUCGAGGAAAUUGUUAAUCAUAUACUAAAGAAGUCCGUGUAUACAUCUUCAAGUGUUGACAAGGGCUUCAUAGGAAUGGGUUCCCGUAUUGAUAGUUUAUUAAGCAAAUACAUAUAUCCGCAGCUUGAUGGGGUGCGUUUUAUAGGGAUCCAUGGCAUGCGGGGCAUAGGUAAGACAACACUUGCUCGAGCUAUCCAUGAUCAAAUGUGUCAGGAUUUUGACCGAACCUGCUUUCUUUCCAAUGUUAGAGAAAUGUCCAAAAACAAUGGCCUAGUUUCUCUACAAGAAAAACUUCUUUCCAGAAUCCUGAUGGCUAAAAUUGAAAAUAUAGAGGAUGAAUACACAGGAGCUGCUAUGAUAGAAAGGCGGUCGUGUAGAAUGAAGGUGCUUGUUGUUAUUGAUGAUGUGGAUCAGUUGAUACAAUUAGAAAAAUUGGCUGGAAAUCGCAACUGGUUUGGUCCGGGGAGUAGAAUUAUCAUAACCACCACAGAUAUUCAGUUGUUAAAGGCGCAUGAUGUUGAUGCUACAUACAAGGCUAACGGGUUAAACUGUGAUGAAGCACUUCAACUUUUGAGUUUGAAGGCUUUUAAGAAAUUUCCCCCACCAGAAGAUUAUUUGCAUCUGUGCUACCGUAUUUUAGGGUAUGCUCAGGGGCUUCCGUUGGCUCUCGUGGUUUUAGGUUCGUUUUUAUUUGGUAGAAGAACUGAUCAAUGGGCAAGUGCAAUAGAUAGGCUAAAGAACACACCAGAUAAACGCAUUAUUGAGGUGCUUCGGAUUAGUUUUGAUGGACUGGAUGAAAAAGACAAAGAAAUAUUCCUACAUAUUGCUUGCUUUUACAAGGGGAAGGAUUAUGAUCGUGUGAUACAAAUACUAGACUAUUGCCAACUAAACCCUGUCAUUGGUUUGAGUGUUCUUGCUGAUAGAUCUCUCAUAACUAUCUCCAACAAUGAACUGUGGAUGCAUGAUUUGCUACAAGAAUUGGGCUGGGAAAUUGUUCGUGAACAGUCUCCCAAAGAGCCAGGCAAACGUAGUAGACUAUGGUCUCAUGAAGACAUCAACAAUGUGCUGAAAAAAAAUAUGGGAACAGAUUCAAUCCAAGGCAUGGUAAUGGAGUUGACUAAAUUACAAGUGGCUCAUUGGAAUCCAGAAGCCUUUUCAAAUUUGUCUCAACUCAGUCUUCUCCAUAUUCAUAAUGUGGACCUUCCCGAAGGCCUCACUUGUCUUUCUAAUUCCUUGAGACUCCUCGAAUGGACUGGGUAUCCCUUAAGAUCUCUCCCAAAAAAUUUUGAAGCAGAUGAACUUAUUGAACUUAACUUGUGCCACAGCAACAUUAAACAGCUUUGGAAGGGAACAAAGAAUUUUGACAGGUUGAAGUUCAUCAAACUCUGUCAUUCUCAAAAUAUUGUGGAGACCCCAGACCUCGCAGGCGUUCAGAAUCUUGAAAGUUUAGAUCUUGAAGGAUGUGAGAAUUUGGUUAGAAUCCAUCAAUCCCUUGGAUUUCUCAAAAAGCUUAUUGUCCUGAAUCUUAAAGACUGCAAAAAUCUCAAGAGUCUGCCAAGUAGAAUUGAAAUGGAAUCUCUUGAAACAUUAAUUCUUUCUAACUGCUCAAAAGUUAAGAAGAUUCCCGAGUUUGUUGGAAAUAUGGAAUGUUUGUCGGUGCUUUAUCUUGAUGAGACUGCCAUUGAGGAACUGCCUGUGUCAAUUGAACGGCUGAGUGGCCUUGUGUCAUUGAAUCUGAGCAAAUGCAGAAAUCUUGUCCGUCUUCCGAGCACCAUCAAUAAAUUGAAGUCUAUUAAAAAUCUUGAUCUUUCUGGAUGCUUGAAACUCGGCAAACAUCAGGUAAAUGUGGGGGAGAUAUAUUGUUUUGAGGAAAAUGAUGUGAAUAGUAGGUCUGCAAUAGAAAUGUCAUCUUCCCAUGAUCUCAUAAAAUCUGUGAGAGGUUCAAUCUUUCAUGUAUAUGAAGUAGUUUGGGGAUCUUUAAAUAAGUUCUUGCCUUCUGGAUUGGUGCAAAAAGUGAAUGCAGGGCCAUCGAGUUUCCGCUUGCCUAUUUCUGGUUUGUGUAAUUUAACGUAUCUGAACCUGAGUAAUUGCAAUCUUGGUGAAGGAGCAUUUCCCAAAGAAUUUGGUUACUUUCCCUCUUUGGUGACCUUGAAUCUAAGUGGAAACCAUUUUGUUCGCGUUCCUUCAGGCAUUCGAUUGCUUUCUAAGCUUGAGAACUUUAACUUGGAGAAUUGCAAGAGACUUCAAGAGUUAUCAGACCUUCCAUCAAAUAGUAGACUAGAUUUAAGGGCAGAUGGUUGUACUUCACUGAAAUACUUGUUUGAUGCAUCAAAUUUGAAUAGACUAAACAAAUCAUAUUUCAAUUUCAUCAAUUGCUUCAAUCUAAAUGGCAAGAAAGGAUGCAAUAACAUAGCAUUUGAAAUGCUGAAGACAUUCAUGUAUCAGGGAAUCUCUAAUAACAGGGAAACUUUUCAAAUUGUAAUUCCUGGAAGUAAUAUUCCCAAGUGGUUCGGCCAUCAGAGUGUUGGGUGUUCAUUAAGUGUCCGUCUACCUGCAGAUUGGAAUAACAGUCGGUUUUUAGGAUUUGCUUUGUGUGCUGAUUUUGUACUCCGUGAGCACCAUCGGGUGGAUGAGCUUUAUAUAGAUGAAUUCAAGACUUUUAAUGCAACACAUCAUCUUGUAUGUUGCCUGAAGAUCGAUGGAAGAGAACUGGAAGUAUAUGGCAGACAGCCUGCAUUUCGCUUUAGUGAAGAAUUUUGCCAGGUUGAAUCAAAUCACCUGUGGCUAUUCUAUGUAUCUCGUGAUAAAUACUUUGGUACAGAGUGGUGGCAUAACAGUUGCAGUCAGCUUGAGUUCUUAUUUGAAACCAGAGGGCCGGGUCUGAAGGUGAAGGAGUGUGGAGUCCGUCUGAUAUACGAGCAAGAAGUGCAAGGCUUGAACCAAACAACCACUCAAUCAAGCAGUAGGAUGUCUCCUUAUGCAGAUAUAUUGAUUGGUUUUGACAUUCCAGUUGGAGGGGAAACCAGUGGCACUGGUAGCAGAACUUGCACACUUGAAGAAUUGUAGGACUGGCAGAAAUAUAGGGGAUCCAGUGAUCCACCACUGGCCACUCUGAAAGACCACAAUUAAGGACUUUCUGAUCCCAUGGCUCGAAAUGAGUUGCAGAUCAUGAAUGGACAAUGCCUCCUCUUCUCUCAUUUGAAUUUCUGCAGAGAUUACUUUCUGGAGCUCUCUUGCCUUCAUCUUUUAUAGUAAGAUUCUGGCAUGGUUCAAAGGGAUCCUUCCACCAUCAUAAUUUUCCUUUAUCCACCUUAUUGUUCUUAUCUCAUUAUCGCUCAAAAUACUUUCAACCAUCUUUAAUUUUGUGUGAGUGCUUUGACUCUUGUCAAAUUUCAUUCGGCAGCCUUGCUGCAGCAUAUUGUCUGCUUGAUCUUUUACUACUCUCAUCCACAGCUCGACCAUUUCAACCUGUAUUUUUUAACAGAUUAGUGAGUGAUAGUUACAUGGUCAGAUACAUGGUCAGUAAGAAGUUUCUUACCAAUUUUUUUAUGCUUUUAAAGCACUCCCCUGUUCCUGCUCUUCUUGGUUUCAUUGAAUCAAAAUGCAGCCAUUGCGGUAUGUCCUUGUCAAAGACCAAUAGCGUGUGGUGAAAUUCUUCAUUAUGGGUAAUUGGGAAGAAAAGCAUGCUGCAUUUUCCCAUGUUUUGGAACAGCGGCUCACACAAGUAUUGAUGGAGGUUUCUCACAGUUAAAUGUAUUGUUGAAUACUAUUUAAAAAAAGAAAGAAAGAAAUACAUAGAACGAGUUAUAAAUAAACAAAGAAUGAGAGAUAAGGAUUCAAUUUUUAUAGAAAGUGCUCGUCAUACUUACCCAACACAUGCUAUGCAUAAAAGCAGAUCUUCCCAAACUUUGUGAACUUUCGUUUUGCAUUUCAUCCUUCAACAUUUCCCCAUAGCAAUCAAUCCAGUUGUUUGCUAUUGAUUGAUCGCUUAUGAACAUUUUGACAUCUGCCCUUGUGAUUUCGCUUCCAGCCUCUUUUCCCUCCCAGAA